UCAACUGCACCCCGACCCCGAUACGGAC
rnacentral:sRNA from 1 species